rnacentral:rRNA from 1 species
GACGAACGCUGGCGGCGUGCUUAACACAUGCAAGUCACGGGGGCCCAGCAAUGGGUAACCGGCGAACGGGUGCGUAACACGUGAGCAACCUGCCGAUCUGAGGGGGAUAGCCGGCCCAACGGCCGGGUAAUACCGCAUACGGUUCUUGAGGGACAUCCCUUGGGAACGAAACCUCCGGGGCAGAUCGAGGGGCUCGCGGCCUAUCAGCUAGUUGGCGGGGUAACGGCCCACCAAGGCGACGACGGGUAGCUGGUCNGAGAGGA